GAAAAAUCAGUAUAAAUGCUGCUUAUAUAAUUUGUUCAGCUAUGGUAGAUAGUCCUACUUUUCUGGUAAGCCUAAAAUACGUAUAUAUUUAAAAAGCAGAUUGAAAUAUCCAAAAAAUUCUCCAUGAUUUCAAUUGAAUUUUUUUUUGACUCACUUGCUUACAAAAGAGGUUUUAAACCAGAAAAUCCCUUAAAAUAUGCCUGGAGAUAUCAGGAGAAAAAGAAUUUUAAAUAGCCUACAUUACUAAGUAAUGGUUGUAACCAAUAGGAUUUCAUCUUAAUGACCGUGUGGAGAUGUUUUAGUACUGCUUCACUUUUCCCAGAAAAGAUCCUUCCAGGUCACCAAUCCCGCCAUGAAUGGAUAACAUAAGGUACUACUCAUUCAUUCAUGUUCACAUCAUUUUUAGAGAUGCUAGAUUUUAUGAAUCAGCACUAGAUGAUUCUACCCUCAGUGGAAUAAAAUUGCUUACAAAUAUUUUGAAAGGAAAAUGAACUUAAAUUCUUAAAUUACCAUGAAAGCAAUCAGGUACAGACAAGGUCUGAUUUCUCUAAUUCAUUUUAACUCCUUGGUGCCCCGAGAUGAGAAGAAAAGUCCAUUGCUGGCAAUGGAUAUAUUUAGAAAAGAUGGAAAGCAACCUGGGAUUUUUUUACCUUGGUUGAGUACACAUUUUUCACAGGAGGUUUUAUCACUUGAUUCACACUGAUGUGUAUCAUAAGGUAAUAAUCAAAUGCAGACACAACAUAAAUUAAAUCCACUGACAUAGCUUCUCACAUGUAUCUCUAGUAGCUUUGGCAAGUGUCUGAAACCAGUUUUGGCUCACCAGAAACGUGGUAACAUAUUCUCCUGUUUAUUUGGCUUGGUUUUAGCUAUGUUGUCUUUGGGUCAACCCACUUGAUGUCAAGAACAUGACGUCUCUGCUUAUUCCAUGUUUAAUAUGUGUUAGGUAUUAUAAGAGGCAAAAUUAUUAAAUACUAAAGGUCAAAGGAUUAAUUUGUAACUUCUGUUAUACUACAUUAGCUUCAAUAAAUCCAAACCAAAAGACUAUUAGGUAGAUUUAUUUUUAUAUAAGCAUGUUUAUUUUGAUCAGAUGUUUUAACUUGGAAUUGAAAAAAAUACAUUUAUGAGAUGUUUUAUAAGAUGUGUAAAUAUAGAAUUGUAUUUAUUACUACAAUAAAGAUUCAGUAACACUAAGGGCCAUGAUAAUAAACCAUGUACAGUGGCAUAUUCUUUCAUAUAUAUUGUGUUUCUCUGCCCAUUUUUCUUUAAAUUCAUUAACUGUAUGUAAUAUAUGUAAAUGUAUAUAGUUCUUGUAAAUAGAUUUCAAACUUGCUUUUCUAUUGGGUACAAAAU
ensembl:lncRNA